rnacentral:rRNA from 1 species
UGGGGAAUAUUGCACAAUGGGAGAAAUCCUGAUGCAGCGACGCCGCGUGGGUGAUGAAGGCCUUCGGGUUGUAAAGCCCUGUCGGCUGGGAACAAGGUAGACGUGCUCAUACCACGUUUGCUUGAGGGUACCAGCAAAGGAAGCACCGGCUAACCCUGUGCCAGCAGCCGCGGUAAUACAGGGGGUGCUAGCGUUGUUCGGAAUUACUGGGCGUAAAGGGCGCGUAGGCGGUCUUGCAAGUCAGGGGUGAAAUCCCGGAGCUUAACUCCGGAAUUGCUUCUGAUACUGUGAGGCUAGAGUGUAUUAGAGGAUGGCGGAAUUCCUAGUGUAGUGGUGAAAUACGUAGAUAUUAGGAAGAACACCGGUGGCGAAGGCGGCCAUCUGGGAUACAACUGACGCU